rnacentral:rRNA from 1 species
AUUGAACGCUGGCGGCAGGCCUAACACAUGCAAGUCGGACGGUAGCACAGAGGAGCUUGCUCCUCGGGUGACGAGUGGCGGACGGGUGAGUAAUGUCUGGGGAUCUGCCCGAUAGAGGGGGAUAACCACUGGAAACGGUGGCUAAUACCGCAUAACGUCGCAAGACCAAAGAGGGGGACCUUCGGGCCUCUCACUAUCGGAUGAACCCAGAUGGGAUUAGCUAGUAGGCGGGGUAAUGGCCCACCUAGGCGACGAUACCUAGCUGGUCUGAGAGGAUGAGCAUCCACACUGGGACUGAGACACGGUCCAGACUCCUACGGGAGGCAGCAGUGGGGAAUAUUGCACAAUGGGCGCAAGCCUGAUGCAGCCAUGCCGCGUGUAUGAAGAAGGCCUUCGGGUUGUAAAGUACUUUCAGCGGGGAGGAAGGCGAUAAGGUUAAUAACCUUGUCGAUUGACGUUACCCGCAGAAGAAGCACCGGCUAACUCCGUGCCAGCCGCCGCAGUAA